CUCCGGCGCCCGAGGAUGGUCUGCGGCCUAUCAGCUGUAGGGGUGUAACCGACCCCCUAGGCUUCGACGGGUACGGGCUAUGGGAGUAGUCGCCCGGAGAUGGAUUCUGAGACACGAAUCCAGGUCCUACGGGACGCAGCAGUCGCGAAAACUCCGCAAUGUGGGAAACCACGACGGGGGAACUCCCAGUGCGCGCACUUAGUGUGCGCUGUUCUCCCGUCUAAAAAACGGGAGAAGUAAGGGCCGGGUAAGACGGGUGCCAGCCGCCGCGGUAAUACCCGCGGCCCGAGUGGUGCUCAUUCUUAUUGAGUCUAAAACGUCCGUCGCCGGCCCGGUCGAUGCCUGGGUAAAUCGGAUCGCUUAACGGUCCGAAUUCCGGGUAGACCGCCGGGCUCGGGACCGGGAGAGGUGCGAGGUACGCCGGGGGUAGGGGUAAAAUCCUGUAAUCCUCGGCGGACCACCAGUGGCGAAGGCGUCGCACUAGAACGGAUCCGACGGUCAGGGACGAAGCCCAGGGGCGCAAACGGGAUUAGAUACCCCGGUAGUCCUGGGUGUAAACGCUGCAGGCUUGGUGUCGGGGGUCCUACGGGGGCGCCCGGUGCCGGAGCGAAGGUGUUAAGCCUGCUACUUGGGGAGUACGGUCGCAAGACUGAAACUUAAAGGGAUUGGCGGGGGAGCACCGCAACGGGAGGAGCGUGCGGUUCAAUUGGAUUCAACGCCGGAAAACUCACCGGGGGCGACCCUUACAUGAAGGCCAGGCCAACGACCUUGCCUGAUUUAGGGAGAGGUGGUGCAUGGCCGUCGUCAGUUCGUACCGUAAGGCGUUCUGUCAAGUCAGGUAACGAACGAGACCCUCGCCCAUAGUUGCCACCGGCAUCUCCGGAUGCCGAGCACAUUAUGGGGACCGCUG
rnacentral:rRNA from 1 species